rnacentral:rRNA from 1 species
UACGGAGGGUGCAAGCGUUAUCCGGAUUUACUGGGUUUAAAGGGUGCGCAGGCGGAUAUGUAAGUCAGCGGUGAAAUCUCUAGGCUUAACCUGGAAAUUGCCGUUGAUACUAUAUAUCUUGAAUGUUGUGGAGGUAAGCAGAAUAUGUCAUGUAGCGGUGAAAUGCUUAGAUAUGACAUAGAAUACCUAUUGCGAAGGCAGCUUACUACGCAGAUAUUGACGCUCAUGCACGAAAGCGUGGGGAUCAAACAGG